rnacentral:rRNA from 1 species
AGUGAACGCUGGCGGUAGGUCUAACACAUGCAAGUCGAACGGCAGCACAGUAAGAGCUUGCUCUUACGGGUGGCGAGUGGCGGACGGGUGAGGAAUACAUCGGAAUCUACUUUUUCGAGGGGGAUAACGUAGGGAAACUUACGCUAAUACCGCAUACGACCUACGGGUGAAAGCAGGGGAUCUUCGGACCUUGCGCGAUUGAAUGAGGCGAUGUCGGAUUAGCUAGUUGGUGGGGUAAAGGCCCACCAAGGCGACGAUCCGUAGCUGGUCUGAGAGGAUGAUCAGCCACACUGGAACUGAGACACGGUCCAGACUCCUACGGGAGGCAGCAGUGGGGAAUAUUGGACAAUGGGCGCAAGCCUGAUCCAGCCAUACCGCGUGGGUGAAGAAGGCCUUCGGGUUGUAAAGCCCUUUUGUUGGGAAAGAAAAGCAGCAGGUUAAUACCCCGCUGUUCUGACGUUACCCAAAGAAUAAGCACCGGCUAACUUCGUG